GAUGAACGCUGGCGGCGUGCUUAACACAUGCAAGUCGAACGAAGCACUUUAUUUGAUUUCCUUCGGGACUGAUUAUUUUGUGACUGAGUGGCGGACGGGUGAGUAACGCGUGGGUAACCUGCCUUGUACAGGGGGAUAACAGUUGGAAACGGCUGCUAAUACCGCAUAAGCGCACGGCAUCGCAUGAUGCAGUGUGAAAAACUCCGGUGGUAUAAGAUGGACCCGCGUUGGAUUAGCUAGUUGGUGAGGUAACGGCCCACCAAGGCGACGAUCCAUAGCCGACCUGAGAGGGUGACCGGCCACAUUGGGACUGAGACACGGCCCAAACUCCUACGGGAGGCAGCAGUGGGGAAUAUUGCACAAUGGGCGAAAGCCUGAUGCAGCGACGCCGCGUGAGCGAAGAAGUAUUUCGGUAUGUAAAGCUCUAUCAGCAGGGAAGAUAAUGACGGUACCUGACUAAGAAGCACCGGCUAAAU
rnacentral:rRNA from 1 species